rnacentral:sRNA from 1 species
AGACAGGGGCUCACUAUGUUGCCAGGCUGUUUUCGAAGUCCUGGGCUCAAGCAAUCCUCCUAUCUUGGCCUCCCAAAGUGCUGGGAUUACAAGUGUGAGUCACCGCACCUGGCCUGAAGAUUCUAUUUCACCUACGAAAACAUGCUUUAAACUGCCACAGAAUGAAGCCUGCCUUGUUUAAUGUGUUGUGUGAAAUCAAAGAAAAAACAGACCUCGUAUCAUGGACUAACACACUUAUAACACAUCCCAGGAGGGCAUUUAAAUUUUAAAGCAACAAUUAAAAAAUAGCAGUCAUCAA